rnacentral:rRNA from 1 species
CGCUAUCUACAGGCUUAACACAUGCAAGCCCUGGAGCAUCAGGAAGAAAGCUUGCUUUCUUUGCUGGCGACCGGCGCACGGGUGAGUAACACGUAUCCAACCUGCCCUUUACUCGGGGAUAGCCUUUCGAAAGAAAGAUUAAUACCCGAUAGCAUAAUGAUUCCGCAUGGUUUCAUUAUUAAAGGAUUCCGGUAAAGGAUGGGGAUGCGUUCCAUUAGGUUGUUGGUGAGGUAACGGCCCACCAAGCCUUCGAUGGAUAGGGGUUCUGAGAGGAAGGUCCCCCACAUUGGAACUGAGACACGGUCCAAACUCCUACGGGAGGCAGCAGUGAGGAAUAUUGGUCAAUGGGCGCUAGCCUGAACCAGCCAAGUAGCGUGAAGGAUGAAGGCUCUAUGGGUCGUAAACUUCUUUUAUAUAAGAAUAAAGUGCAGUAUGUAUACUGUUUUGUAUGUAUUAUAUGAAUAAGGAUCGGCUAACUCCAUGCCAGCAGCCGCGGUAAUACGGAGGAUCCGAGCGUUAUCCGGAUUUAUUGGGUUUAAAGGGAGCGUAGGUGGACUGGUAAGUCAGUUGUGAAAGUUUGCGGCUCAACCGUAAAAUUGCAGUUGAUACUGUCAGUCUUGAGUACAGUAGAGGUGGGCGGAAUUCGUGGUGUAGCGGUGAAAUGCUUAGAUAUCACGAAGAACUCCGAUUGCGAAGGCAGCUCACUGGACUGCAACUGACACUGAUGCUCGAAAGUGUGGGUAUCAAACAGGAUUAGAUACCCUGGUAGUCCACACAGUAAACGAUGAAUACUCGCUGUUUGCGAUA